rnacentral:rRNA from 1 species
GUCGAGGGGCAGCGGGGAGCAAGCUUGCUUGCUCUGCCGGCGACCGGCGCACGGGUGAGUAACACGUAUGCAACCUGCCCUCCGCAGGGGGAUAACCCGGAGAAAUCCGGACUAAUACCGCGUGGUACACCUGUGGGGCAUCCCACGGGUGUUAAAAGGAAGUGAUUCCGGCGGAGGAUGGGCAUGCGGCGCAUUAGCUUGUUGGCGGGGUAACGGCCCACCAAGGCUACGAUGCGUAGGGGUUCUGAGAGGAAGGUCCCCCACACUGGUACUGAGACACGGACCAGACUCCUACGGGAGGCAGCAGUGAGGAAUAUUGGUCAAUGGGCGGGAGCCUGAACCAGCCAAGUCGCGUGAGGGAAGACGGUCCUAUGGAUUGUAAACCUCUUUAGGCGGGGAGCAAUGCCGGGCACGCGUGCCCGGAGGGAGAGUACCCGCAGAAUAAGCAUCGGCUAACUCCGUGCCAGCAGCCGCGGUAAUACGGAGGAUGCGAGCGUUAUCCGGAUUUAUUGGGUUUAAAGGGUGCGUAGGCGGAUUUUUAAGUCAGCGGUAAAAUGUCCGGGCUCAACCCGGGCCGGCCGUUGAAACUGGGGAUCUUGAGUGGGCGAGAAGUAUGCGGAAUGCGUGGUGUAGCGGUGAAAUGCAUAGAUAUCACGCAGAACUCCGAUUGCGAGGGCAGCAUACCGGCGCCCGACUGACGCUGAGGCACGAAAGCGUGGGGAUCGAACAGGAUUAGAUACCCUGGUAGUCCACGCAGUAAACGAUGAAUGCUAGUUGUCCGGUUCUUUGGGACUGGGUGACA